UACGGGGGGAGCAAGCGUUGUUCGGAUUUACUGUGCGUAAAGGGCGCGUAGGCGGCCACCGCAAGUCGACUGUGAAAUCUCCGGGCUUAACCCGGAAAGGUCAGCCGAUACUGCGGGGCUAGAGUGCAGAAGGGGCAACUGGAAUUCUCGGUGUAGCGGUGAAAUGCGUAGAUAUCGAGAGGAACACCUGCGGCGAAGGCGGGUUGCUGGGCUGACACUGACGCUGAGGCGCGAAAGCUAGGGGAGCGAACGGG
rnacentral:rRNA from 1 species